rnacentral:misc_RNA from 1 species
UCCGAGUUGACCCCGGCAGUCUCCUAUGAGUCCCCGCCAUUACGCGCUGGCAACAUAGAACGAGGGUUGCGCUCGUUGCGGGACUUAACCCAACAUCUCACGACACGAGCUGACGACAGCCAUGCACCACCUGUACACCGGCCACAAAGGGAUACCGUGUCUCCACGGCGAUCCGGCGUAUGUCAAGCCUUGGUAAGGUUCUUCGCGUUGCGUCGAAUUAAGCCACAUGCU